AAAUGAAUAGACGGGGACCCGCACAAGCAGCGGAGCAUGUGGUUUAAUUCGAAGCAACGCGAAGAACCUUACCAAGGCUUGACAUCCCUUGACGCGCAUAGAAAUAUGCGUUCCCUUCGGGGCAAGGAGACAGGUGGUGCAUGGUUGUCGUCAGCUCGUGUCGUGAGAUGUUGGGUUAAGUCCCGCAACGAGCGCAACCCUUAUCAUUAGUUGCCAGCGCGUAAAGGCGGGAACUCUAAUGAGACUGCCGGGGAUAACUCGGAGGAAGGUGGGGACGACGUCAAAUCAUCAUGCCCCUUAUGUCUUGGGCUACACACGUGCUACAAUGGCCGGUACAGAGGGCUGCGAAGCCGUAAGGUGGAGCGAAUCCCAAAAAGCCGGUCUCAGUUCGGAUCGUGGGCUGCAACCCGCCCACGUGAAGCCGGAGUUGCUAGUAAUCGCGAAUCAGCAUGUCGCGGUGAAUGCGUUCCCGGGUCUUGUACACACCGCCCGU
rnacentral:rRNA from 1 species